rnacentral:rRNA from 1 species
UGCAAAGUAAACUGGUCGGCGGUGUGCUCGCUGACGGAGUACGGGGGCCUGGGCGUCCAUGAGCUCCAGCGCUUCGGCAGGGCCCUUCGCCUACGCUGGAUGUUGAUCGCCUGGCACCACCCAGAGCGACCCUGGGUGGGCACGGAGUUGCCCUGCAACACGGAGGACACGACACUGUUCACGACAUCGACCAGCGUGGCCAUCGGUGACGGGGCGUUGGCCUCCUUCUGGCACUCUUCCUGUAUCAGACACGGAAGCCUAGCUCAGCAAUUCCGGUCGCUCUUCAGGCACUCGCCGAGGAAGAAUAGAUCGGUUCGGGACACACUCAAUGAAGACACAUGGAUCAAGGACCUCGCCCACAACAGCACCCAAGAACUGCUGCAGGAGUUCACGGUCAUGCACCGAGCACUGAGAGGGGUGCUCGAGACUCUGUUGGAGGGCACACCGGACGCCAUCACCUGGACUGGAGAGAGUUCAGGGAGAUACUCUUCCAAAUCAGCCUAUCUGACGCAAUUCCAGGGAGGAUGGCAACGUGCUUCGAUCAAUUAA